rnacentral:rRNA from 1 species
AUACGGAGGAUGCGAGCGUUAUCCGGAUUUAUUGGGUUUAAAGGGAGCGUAGGCGGGAGCUUAAGUCAGCGGUCAAAUGGUGCGGCUCAACCGUGCCCUGCCGUUGAAACUGGGUUUCUUGAGAGUGCAAGAGGCGGAUGGAAUUCAUGGUGUAGCGGUGAAAUGCUUAGAUAUCAUGAAGAACUCCGAUUGCGAAGGCAGUCCGCUGGGGCACGUCUGACGCUGAUGCUCGAAGGUGCGGGAAUCAAACAGGAUUAGAUACCCUGGUAGUCCGCACGGUAAACGAUGAUUACCCGCUGUCGGCGGCAGACAGUCGGCGGCCAAGCGAAAGCGAUAAGUAAUCCACCUGGGGAGUACGCCGGCAACGGUGAAACUCAAAUGAAUUGACGGGG